rnacentral:rRNA from 1 species
GGCUCAGGAUGAACGCUGGCGGCGUGCCUAAUACAUGCAAGUCGAACGAGGUGCUCUUGUAGCAAUACGAGGGUAUCCUAGUGGCGAACGGGUGAGUAACGCGUUGGUGACCUGCCCCGAAGUGUGGGAUAUCAGUCCGAAAGGACUGCUAAUACCGUAUGUGGUCCCCGGGUUUAGAAACCGGUGACGAAAGCAGUAAUGCGCUUUGGGAGGGACCUGCGUCCCAUCAGCUAGUUGGUAGGGUAACGGCCUACCAAGGCUACGACGGGUAGGGGACCUGAGAGGGUGACCCCCACAAUGGAACUGAAAUACGGUCCAUACACCUACGGGUGGCAGCAGUAGGGAAUAUUGCACAAUGGACGAAAGUCUGAUGCAGCAACGCCGCGUGCACGAUGAAGGUCUUCGGAUCGUAAAGUGCUUUUCUGGGAGAUGAGAAAGGACAGUAUCCCAGGAAUAAGUCUCGGCUAACUACGUGCCAGCAGCCGCGGUAAAACGUAGGAGGCAAGCGUUAUCCGGAUUCACUGGGCGUAAAGCGCGUGCAGGCGGUUCGGUAAGUUGGGCGUGAAAUCUCCCGGCUUAACUGGGAGAGGUCGUUCAAUACUACCGGACUAGAGAGCAGUAGAGGAAGAUGGAAUUCCCGGUGUAGUGGUGAAAUGCGUAGAUAUCGGGAGGAACACCAGUGGCGAAGGCGAUCUUCUGGACUGCGUCUGACGCUCAUACGCGAAAGCUAGGGUAGUAAACGGGAUUAGAGACCCCGGUAAUCCUAGCUGUAAACGAUGUGAACUUGGCGUCGGUGGCUUAAACACUAUCGGUGCCGAAGCAAACGCGAUAAGUUCACCGCCUGGGGACUAC